GUAGGGCCCAAGCAAGCCAGGAAGGAGGAGGCAGCCAGAGUGUUCUCGGCAGCAGAAGACCCCUUGCUGCCCUGCUCAACCCAGACCAGCAUUUGCCAGUUCAUUCUGUAUCCAGAGUGGUAAACCUUCUCCUCACGCAGCCCUCAGCUACGCUACUCGGGGUGAGCAUGAUGGCCACAGUGAAAGAGAAAGAGAAGACAAAGAGAAGUAGAGAUAAAUAGAGAUUGCUCAGUAAUACUGCCUCACAACAACCCUACAAGAUAUGUUGGGCUAAGAGAUUCUGGGUUCAGAGCCACCCAAUGAGAUGGAUCACUGAGGGACAUUCUGACCCGGAUCUUCCAGCUUCUUGUUUGACAUCGACAAGUACACCUCACCGGCCCUCCCUGACAAGUAGACUACACUGCCAUGCUGCCACCAUCACAGCAAACUAGUCUGAUACUUCUGAUGCCUUCUAAAGGAAAAAGAGGGAGUCUCACCCAGAGAGGCCACAAUCCAACCAUUCUCUUCCAUGACUUCCCUGUGCAGAGUCUUUUGGCCAGAAUCCAGCAGAGCCCACUCCUCCUCUGUGAAAUGCACGGCCACGUCCUCAAAGGUCACCUGGCCCUGAAAGAGAGAAAGGAGAACAUAUUUCUUCCCUUGAAGAUCACAUCACGGUUCUGUUUCUCCUAAGCAAUAGUCAGAAGAACUGUUCAGGUAAGGUGAGCUGAGAAGGAAAGGGGCAUUUGGACUUUCCCCCAACGCCCAGUAGGGCAGGGCACUCACUAGACUGGGUGCCAAGCCGAUCAACAUCUGGGGGUUUCCUGGCUCUGCACUUACUAUUGUAUUUACUUGCUGUUGUAACAUGAGUGCCUGUGGGAAUUUGUCAUUA